AUACGGAGGAUGCGCGCGUUAUCCGGAUUUAUUGGGUUUAAAGGGAGCGUGGGUGGGAUAUUAAGUCAGCUGUGAAAGUUUGGGGCUCAACCUUAAAAUUGCAGUUGAUACUGGUUUCCUUGAGUACGGUACAGGUGGGCGGAAUUCGUGGUGUAGCGGUGAAAUGCUUAGAUAUUACGAAGAACUCCGAUCGCGAAGGCAGCUCACCGGGCCGGAACUGACACUGAUGCUCGAAAGUGCGGGUAUCAAACAGGAUUAGAUACCCUGGUAGUCCGCACAGUAAACGAUGAAUACUCGCUGUUUGCGAUACACGGUAAGCGGCCAAGCGAAAGCGUUAAGUAUUCCACCUGGGGAGUACGCCGGCAACGGUGAAACUUAAAGGAAUUGACGGGG
rnacentral:rRNA from 1 species